rnacentral:rRNA from 1 species
UACGUAGGGGGGCUAGCGUUGUCCGGAAUCAUUGGGCGUAAAGAGCGUGUAGGCGGUCCGGUAAGUCCGUUGUGAAAGUCAAGGGCUCAACCCUUGAAUGCCGGCGGAUACUGUCGGGCUAGAGUCCGGAAGAGGCAAGUGGAAUUCCCGGUGUAGCGGUGAAAUGCGUAGAUAUCGGGAGGAACAUCAGUUGCGAAGGCGGCUCUCUGGACCAGCACUGACACUGAGGCACGAAAGCGUGGGGAGCAAACAGGG